rnacentral:rRNA from 1 species
UACAGAGGUCUCAAGCGUUGUUCGGAUUCAUUGGGCGUAAAGGGUGCGUAGGCGGCGCGGUAAGUCGGGUGUGAAAUCUCGGGGCUUAACUCCGAAACUGCAUUCGAUACUGCCGUGCUUGAGGACUGGAGAGGAGACUGGAAUUUACGGUGUAGCGGUGAAAUGCGUAGAUAUCGUAAGGAAGACCAGUGGCGAAGGCGGGUCUCUGGUCUGUAACUGACGCUGAGGCGCGAAAGCGUGGGGAGCAAACAGG